AACGCGAAGAACCUUACCAGCUCUUGACAUGGGGAUUAUGGAUUUAAGAGAUUAGAUCCUUCGGUUCGGCCGGGUCCCACACAGGUGCUGCAUGGCUGUCGUCAGCUCGUGUCGUGAGAUGUUGGGUUAAGUCCCGCAACGAGCGCAACCCUCAUCGUUAAUUGCCAUCAGGUUGGGCUGGGCACUUUAACGAAACCGCCGGUGAUAAGCCGGAGGAAGGUGGGGAUGACGUCAAGUCCUCAUGGCCCUUAUGGGCUGGGCUACACACGUACUACAAUGGCGGUGACAAUGGGCAGCAAUAGGGCAACCUUGAGCAAAUCCAUAAAAACCGUCUCAGUUCGGAUUGUUCUCUGCAACUCGAGAGCAUGAAGUUGGAAUCGCUAGUAAUCGCGCAUCAGCAUGGCGCGGUGAAUACGUUCCCGGGCCUUGUACACACCGAUACUC
rnacentral:rRNA from 1 species